rnacentral:rRNA from 1 species
GAUGAACGCUGGCGGCGUGCCUAAUACAUGCAAGUCGAGCGAACAGACGAGGAGCUUGCUCCUCUGACGUUAGCGGCGGACGGGUGAGUAACACGUGGAUAACCUACCUAUAAGACUGGGAUAACUUCGGGAAACCGGAGCUAAUACCGGAUAAUAUAUUGAACCGCAUGGUUCAAUAGUGAAAGACGGUUUUGCUGUCACUUAUAGAUGGAUCCGCGCCGCAUUAGCUAGUUGGUAAGGUAACGGCUUGCCAAGGCAACGAUGCGUAGCCGACCUGAGAGGGUGAUCGGCCACACUGGAACUGAGACACGGUCCAGACACCUACGGGAGGCAGCAGUAGGGAAUCUUCCGAAAAGGGCGAAAGCCUGACGGAGCAACGCAGCGUGAGUGAUGAAGGUCUUCGGAUCGUAAAACGCUGUUAUUAGGGAAGAACAAAUGUGUAAGUAACUAUGCACGUCUUGACGGUACCUAAUCAGAAAGCCACGGCUAACUACGUG